rnacentral:snRNA from 1 species
UCACCAUCUUUCGGCUGAGA